CAGGAAGUGCUUGCACUUCGCUGACGAGUGGCGGACGGGUGAGUAAUGCUUGGGAACUUGCCUUUGCGAGGGGGAUAACAGUUGGAAACGACUGCUAAUACCGCAUAACGUCUACGGACCAAACGGGGCUUAGGCUCCGGCGCAAAGAGAGGCCCAAGUGAGAUUAGCUAGUUGGUAAGGUAAAGGCUACCAAGGCAACGAUCUCUAGCUGUUCUGAGAGGAAGAUCACCCACACCGGAACUGAGACACGGUCCAGACUCCUACGGGAGGCAGCAGUGGGGAAUAUUGCACAAUGGGGGAAACCCUGAUGCACCCAUGCCGCGUGUGUGAAGAAGGCCUUCGGGUUGUAAAGCACUUUCAGUUGUGAGGAAAAGUUAGUAGUUAAUACCUGCUAGCCGUGACGUUAACAACAGAAGAAGCACCGGCUAACUCCGUGCCAGCAGCCGCGGUAAUACGGAGGGUGCGAGCGUUAAUCGGAAUUACUGGGCGUAAAGCGCACGCAGGCGGUUUGUUAAGCUAGAUGUGAAAGCCCCGGGCUCAACCUGGGAUGGUCAUUUAGAACUGGCAGACUAGAGUCUUGGAGAGGGGAGUGGAAUUCCAGGUGUAGCGG
rnacentral:rRNA from 1 species